rnacentral:lncRNA from 1 species
CAGGUCUGUGUAACUGUAAGAUAUGGGACUGUGUAACUGUAGGACACAGGUCUGUGUAACUGUGAGGUACAGGUCUGUGUAACUGUAAGAUACAGGUCUGUGUAACUGUAAGAUAUGGGACUGUGUAACUGUAGGACACAGGUCUGUGUAACUGUAAGGUACAUGUCUGUGUAACUGUGAGAUACAGGUCUGUGUAACUGUGAGGUGCAGGUCUGUGUAACUGUGAGAUACAGAUCUGUGUAACUGUAAGACACGGGUCUGUGUAAUUGUAAAACACGGGUCUGUGUAACUGUAAGAACACGGGUCAUUGUAACUGUAAGAUAUGGGACUGUGUAACUGUAGGACACAGGUCUGUGUAACUGUGAGAUUCAGGUCUGUGUAACUGUAAGACACAGACAGGGCUCGAGAAAGGGAUGGAAAGUGAGUUCACCUGAUCUUGGAAGCUGAGAACGGGCUGACCUGGUUGGAAGGUGGAUGGAGAAGAAGCAGCAAGGAACUCCUCAUGGGUUGGAUGAGGCCCAGCUCUGCUCCAUGGGAGUCAAGGUGAUGGGGAGAAAGUUGAGUGAUGACCCAAAAGACGUUUGCAUUUCUAGCAGUGUCCAUGGCUCAGCUGCAGCCCAGGAAGUGCCCAGGUCCUGGGUACAUAGCGACGGGAGGAGCAUUGAUCUGCUAGAAGCUGUGCCAAGGUCCGUGGGAACCGCAACCCCUUCCCCUCGACAUCUUGCCAGCAGCACUGGAUUAAUCUCUGAGAACAAGCACUCUGGGUUCCCAGAGGCAAAACAGGCUUUUGAUUUCUAUGAGCUAAGACUCCUCUGCAGGAGCGUGGUCUUGUGCCUUACUGUCAUUGCUUCUUACAAGGAUCACAUAAGCCAAAGAUCCCAGGAACCUCCUGUGGGCAAAUAAGAAGAACAGGGUAAAGUUGUGGGGUGGACAAGGGAGUGACGCUGGAUACAGCUAUUCCUGAAAGCGCUUACACUUGACACUAAGUUAAUAGAGUCUCUCUCUCACU